AUUCCAAAACCAUUCCUUUCUUUUAAUAACUAUCACCUAUAAUUAAAUCAAUUAGGGUUGUCGAAAUUUUGCAAAUUUAAACCUAAUUUCAAGCCGUACCAACUGAGAAACAAUACAACAAGUCGAAUUGAGUCUCAAAUGCUACGCAAAUUUAGCUAAUUUCCCCUCUUGAACACGCUUCGAUCUCUUCCCGCUGGUGGGGACUCUGCAAAUCUCGUCGGAACUUUAUUUCUUCUUUAAUUUCUCCAGAGGAAGUUCUACGCUAUUGCUAAUCAAGGGACGGAGUUAAAUCUGGCGUCCGAUAUCUGGAAGCGACUUUUCGCGCCAAGAAGCAGAAGAUCUGCUCCAAUUGUUCCGAUUCUUCGCCUUGGUCGGCAAUUCAAUCAAAGAAUGGAAGUUAUCAACCCUUUCAAGCUCUGUUCGGGCCUCAAGUUCCUUGGCUACUUCAUGAUUGUCUUGGUUUUCGCCAUUGUUGCAGUGUCCUACGAUGCGGUUGUAGUGCUCACCUGGGGUCCCAAAUUACUCGUCGGCGGCUUCGACUCCUUCCUCGCGUUCUCUAUCAUCAUUUUGUUUCAUGUUCUGCUUUUACUCUUGUCGUGGAGCUACUUUAUGGUACUCCUCGAAGAUCCUGGUUCCGUACCGGAAAAUUGGACAUUGGCAAGUGAAGCAGAGAAUAUGGAGGCUGGUAGUUCGUCAUUGCCGGAACAGGCACCAAUGGAUUUAGAUGGUGCCGGGAGAAGACCUACGACCUAUUGUCGUCGAUGCCAAAAUGGAAAACCACCACGCUGUCAUCAUUGCUCCGUUUGUCAAAGAUGUGUUCUUAAGAUGGAUCAUCAUUGUAUUUGGGUGGUUAAUUGUGUUGGAGCACGAAACUACAAAUUCUUUCUUCUUUUCUUGCUUUACACAUUCUUGGAGACAACAAUGGAUACACUUGUUUUGCUGCCUAGUUUUAUCAAAUUUUUUGAUGAAGCUAAGAGCCACACCGGUUCUUCUCCUGCCAAUCUUGUAAUCCUUUUUUUAGCUUUUGUUCUUAAUUUAGCCUUCGCACUCAGUCUUCUUUGUUUCGUAGUUAUGCAUGCAUCUCUCCUGAUGAGCAACACAACAUCAGUUGAGGUUCACGAGAAGAGAAGAGCAAGUCAAUGGAAGUAUGACCUAGGAAAGAAGAAAAAUUUUGAGCAGGUAUUCGGGACAAAGGCAGCACUGUGGCUUUUCCCAUUGUUUUCGAAGGAGGAUUUGGAGAAAAUUCCUGCACUUCGAGGCUUGGAAUUCCCAAUUCGUUCUGAUAUGGAGGCUUGACACCUUUUCCUUUUACUCCACUCAGUGUAAUGUGGUCCAUCGUGAUCCAAGGAUGAAACUAAAGAAGAAGAAGUUGUGUCCAUGGAAGUGCAGAAACUGGAGAUGGAAACAGAGAUCAAAACGAAGAUGGGAGCAAUCAUCAGAACAAGGCUAAAAGGGGAAACAUCUGCGGCCUUGUGACCUAAAAAACUUGAAAAAGAAGAUAGAGGAAGAAUCGAGUGUGAUGAAAGAGUUACAUUAUAUGUAGUUGAUCAUCAAAUUUGAACAGAUUUUUGGAUGGCCGUAGUAUUUUGAUUUUGAUCCAUGGAAGUCAUCGAAAUGGGUUGAUCCAUGAAAGCAGAGAUGAGAAGAGACAUGAUAACAAAUAUGGGUGUAGUCAUCAAAAUAAGACCAAAAGGUACCAUCCAUAGUUGUCUGUUUGUAGGAUGAAAGCGAAACUCCCACCAACCAAACACAACCCCUCCCACCAUGCUUGUCACUGCCAUGGAAACCACCCAAGUUGCCAUCUUACAGCUCUUCAUAUUCUCCUUCAUUGCCGACUCCAUUGCAAGUCCAGCUUCUUCUCCACCCGCUGCAAAUCCCCAUGUUUUUUGACCCAUUACACACUAGGCCCUUAACAAGAACUGGAUACGAGUGAAGCAAAAAGAAUGAAGAAAAAGAAAACAGAGGGAGAAAGAGAUGAGUGCAAAGGGGUUUUGAGGAUUUGGCAAGUAAUUGUUGACAUGAUACAAAGCGUGAGAUUUUAUCAAGGUUUGAAAUUAGCAUCAGCAAUUGGCGUAGGUUGAGAUGCAAAUCCAAUGGAGUUAUUAGUGGGAGGUGAGGUCUGGUUGAGGCAUUAUUCCAAAAGCUUGGUGCCUCCAGACUAUGGAAAACACCCAACAGAAUUAAACUUAACCAAAAUAUCAUAAACAAACCAACCAGCAUAUUUCUAUGAGCGCAACCUGUUUGUUUCACUCUCCAACUUUUACUUCAAAACUUUUUUGAACAUUCCAUUGUUUUUUAAUCACAUUUUUUUUUACUUGUGCUUGAAAUUUUAUGUUGGACGGUUUAUUCAAACUUUUAGAAAUAGUUUUGAUG